rnacentral:SRP_RNA from 1 species
GCCGGGCGUUGUGGCGGGCGCCUGUGGUCCCAGCUACUUGGGAGGCGGAGGCAGGAGACUCGCUUGAGCCCAGGAGUUGGAGGUUGCUGUGAGCGUGAUGCCAUGGCACUCUAGCAUGGGCAACAGAGUGAGAUUCUGUCUCAA